rnacentral:rRNA from 1 species
AGCGUAGACGGUGAGGCAAGUCUGAUGUGAAAACCCGGGGCUCAACUCCGGGAUUGCAUUGGAAACUGUCUGACUUGAGUACUGGAGGGGUAAGCGGAAUUCCUGGUGUAGCGGUGAAAUGCGUAGAUAUCAGGAGGGACACCGGUGGCGAAGGCGGCUUACUGGACAGUAACUGACGUUGAGGCUCGAAAGCGUGGGGAGCAAACA